rnacentral:rRNA from 1 species
GAUGAACGCUGGCGGCGUGCCUAAUACAUGCAAGUCGAGCGAACAGAUGAGGAGCUUGCUCCUCUGACGUUAGCGGCGGACGGGUGAGUAACACGUGGAUAACCUACCUAUAAGACUGGGAUAACUUCGGGAAACCGGAGCUAAUACCGGAUAAUAUAUUGAACCGCAUGGUUCAAUAGUGAAAGACGGUUUUGCUGUCACUUAUAGAUGGAUCCGCGCCGCAUUAGCUAGUUGGUAAGGUAACGGCUUACCAAGGCAACGAUGCGUAGCCGACCUGGGAGGGUGAUCGGCCACACUGGAACUGAGACACGGUCCAGACUCCUACGGGAGGCAGCAGUAGGGAAUCUUCCGCUAUGGGCGAAAGCCUGACGGAGCAACGCCGCGUGAGUGAUGAAGGUCUUCGGAUCGUAAAACUCUGUUAUUAGGGAAGAACAAAUGUGUAAGUAACUAUGCACGUCUUGACGGUACCUAAUCAGAAAGCCACGGCUAACUACGUG